CCAGCGGUGCAUUUUUGAGUAGUAAAUGUGGGGAACACGGCUAUAGCACAUAAACCCCAGCAACCAUGCGGCUGCCACCAGGUUUGAGGGGACGCUGGUGGCCCCCUUCCACUGGGCAGCUUGCUCCUUCCGCCCUGUAAUGUGAUGUUCCUUGAAGUGUGCUUCAAAUUCCUUAGCUAUAACGUUUUAUUUCAGAAUAAAAAUAAAUAACCAGGUCAGGUAAAGAAAACUGAUGGCAAGCCUUGCUGUGCGAGAGGAAUUUUUUUUGUUUUUUUUUUUUACAGGUGACAAUUCCCAGUUAAACAUUUUCACACAGUCAAGGAGGGGGACAGCUUGGGCUCACAACAAUGCUGCUAGAAAAUCGGCCGGGCACGAUGGCUCAUGCCUGUAAUGCCAGCACUUUGGGAGGCCGAGGCAGGCAGAUCACAUGAGGUCAGGAGUUUCAGAUUAGCCUGGCCAACAUGGUGAAAAGUCGUCUCUACUAAAAAUACAAAAAUUGGCCAGGUGUGGUGGUGGGCACCUGUAAUCCCAGCUACUCAGGAGGCUGAGGCAGGAGAAUUGCCUGAACCUGGGAGGUGGAGUUUGCAGUGAGCUGAGAUCACACUACUACACUUCAGCCUGGAAAACAGAGUGACACUCUGUCUCAAAAAUAAAAUAAAAUAAAAUAAUGGACUGGAAAAUCACUCAUGGGCCAAGCGGAUUGCUUGAUGGCUUGCCCAAGAGAUAUUUGAAAAUAUUAAGAGAAAUAGGAAUUAUGGAUCACGAUGGGCCCUUCAAAGAGGAGAAGAACGAUGCAUCGUCAGCUUCUGCAGAAGAUGAAUGACAGAGAAAAGAUAGAUGCGCUUAGGCCGGGCGCCGUGGCUCACGCCUGUAAUCCCAGCACUUUGGGAGGCUGAGGUGGGCAGAUCACGAGGUCAGGAGAUCGAGACCAUCUUGGCUAACAUGGUGAAACCCUGUCUUUACUAAAAUACAAAAAUUAUUAUAUUUUUGUAGAAAUGUGGUGGCAGAUGUCUGUAAUCCCAGCUACUUGGGAGGCUGAAGCAGGGGAAUCACUUGAAUCUGGGAGG
rnacentral:lncRNA from 10 species